rnacentral:rRNA from 1 species
UACGAACCGUGCGAACGUUAUUCGGAAUCACUGGGCUUAAAGCGCGUGUAGGCGGGCCGGCACGUCGGUCGCUGAAAUCCCCCGGCUCAACCGGGGAAGGGGCGCCGAUACGACCGGCCUGGAGGGACGUAGGGGGGGCCGGAACUUCCGGUGGAGCGGUGAAAUGCGUUGAGAUCGGAAGGAACGCCCGUGGCGAAAGCGGGCCCCUGGACGUCUACUGACGCUGAGACGCGAAAGCCAGGGGAGCGAACGGG